rfam:Schistosoma mattheei strain Denwood, Zambia genome assembly, scaffold: SMTD_contig0007491
AUCCAGAUGAUGAGUCCCAGGCAGGACAAAACAGGUGUCCUGGAU